GGGCAAGAGCAGCAAGAUGCUGCACCAUGUUGACUACGGGGUGAGGUGCAUCCUGCAGGACAGCCGGAUCUUCUUCGGCACCUUCAAGGCUUUUGACAAGCACGUGAAUUUGAUCCUCUGUGACUGUGAUGAGUUCAGGAAGAUCAAGCCAAAGAACUCCAAACAAGCUGAAAGGGAAGAGAAGCGAGUCCUUGGUCUGGUGCUGCUGCGAGGGGAGAACCUGCUCUCAAUGACAGUAGAGGGACCUCCUCCCAAAGAUACUGGCAUUGCUCAAGCACUUGCUGGGGCUGCUAGGCGUCCAGGGAUUGGCAGGGCUGCUGGCAGAGGAAUCCCAGCUGGGGUUCCCAUGCCUCGGGUCCCUGCAGGACUUGCUGGGUCAGUCUCUGGGGUUGGCGGGCCAUCUCAACAGGUGAUGACCCCACAGGAAGGGGCACUGUUGCAGCUGCUGCCACAGCCAGUAUUGCCGGGGCCCUGACCCAGUGCCCACCUGGCUGUGGGGGUCCUCCCCCUCCUAUGGGCAGGGAAGCACCCCCUCCAGGCAUGAUGGGCCCACCUCCUGGUAUGAGGCCUCCUAUGGGUCCCCCAUGGGGAUCCCUCCUGGAAGAGGGACUCCAAUGGGCACGCCCCCUCUGGGAAUGCGGCCUCCUCCUCCUGGGGUGCGAGGCCUUCUUUGACCCUUGGCCACAGAAUAUGGAAGUAGCUCCGUACAGGUGUGGGUUCGAUUCCUCAGGGCUACGUUACCACAG